rnacentral:lncRNA from 1 species
GGAGCCGGCCUUGGGAUCCAUCUUUCGGGCCCUGGGACGUGAGAGAAGAAUGCCGGGGCCUCUCUCUGUGCCCCUGGCACGCCUCUGUGCAGGCCGGGCCUGCACCACCCCCGCGCCCGUCCCCCAGGCAGGGUCCGUGUGGCUGCAGACACCCAGAGAGGGGAGGCUGGGAGGCUGGGGAGCCGUGGCAGCCCGAUGCAGUGCGGGUCUCCAGGUGGAGGGGCCCUGGUCCCCUGGCGCCAGCGUGGCCCUUCCUCCUUGUGGAAACCCUUGUGGUGUGUGUGCUCUCUCGCCCUGACCCAGGAGAGCAGCAUGGCGGACCCCUGAUCUUGUGGCGUGCCACCGCGCGAGGCCGAGGAGCUCCCGCAGACCAGUGGGCGUGGCGUCCUUGUCGCGGCUCUGUGGAGACCUGGCGAUGGAGAGCAGCAUGGCGGACCCCUGAUCUUGUGGCGUGCCACCAAGUGAGGCCGAGGAGCUCCCGCAGACCAGUGGGCGUGCCGUCUUUUAGAGGGAUUUUUGGAGACCUGUCUUUGAUGGAAGCAUCAAUGAUUGAAGAUCAGCAGCAGCAUGGAACCCUGGGCCUAUUUGGAGAUACCAAGUGA